UGUGUUUAUGUUAUUUUUGUUAUAUUCUGUUACUUCUUUUCAUGUUCUGUUUUUUUUAUGGUACUAGUUUGUUUCUUCAAGUAUGUUUUUUUUACCUACUGAUCCAGAUUUAAAAGAGGAGGGUUUGAGAAUGCAAAUACUAGCUUACCCAUGUUAUAUUUGUGACUUUCCAAGUCAUGCACAUUGUCAGAAAUUUUAUUUUGUUGUAUCUUAUUUUAUUCUAUUUGUUUUUUAGGGAAUUGAGUGUUAAUGGCAGAUCUAUAAUUUUUUUUGAUAAAUGGAAGUUUAUGCACAACUUUUAUUAACUCAAG
rnacentral:lncRNA from 1 species